rnacentral:misc_RNA from 1 species
CUGAAGUUUUUGAGAGGUGCUGCUGGCUUUCCGAAGCAUGUGCACCCUCUCAUACUUUACUCAACCACCUGUGCACCUUUGUAGUCUCUCGGACGCUUCUCAGUCUUCGGGCUGGAUGGGACAUUUGCCGCUUCUUAGGGAUCGGCUCUUGUUCAAAUGUCUGAGAGCUACGUCUACACAUACACUGUAAAAAAAACAAGAAUGUAUCACGGUCUCUGGACCUUAAAAAUAAAUA